rnacentral:misc_RNA from 1 species
GAUGAAGAACGUAGCGAAAUGUGAUACUUGGUGUGAAUUGCAGAAUCCCGUGAACCAUCGAGUCUUUGAACGCAAGUUGCGCCCGAAGCCACUAGGCCGAGGGCACGCCUGCCUGGGCGUCACACGCCGUUGCCCCCCCAUCUACUCCUUCGGGAUUGCGGGGGGGCGGAUGAUGGCCUCCUGUGCGCCUAGCCGCGCGGUUGGCAUAAAUACCAAGUCCUCGGCGACGCACGCCACGACAAUCGGUGGUUGCGAAACCUCGGUUGCCCGUCGUGUGCGUUCGUCGCGCAUCGAGGGCUCGAAAAAAUGCUCGGCUCCGGCUGGGCUUUCAACGCGACCCCAGGUCAGGCGGGGUUACCCGCUGAAUUUAAGCAUAUCAAUAAGCGGAGGA